CGGUGGAUGAUGUGGAUUAAUUCGAUGCAACGACGAAAACCUUACCUACCCUUGUACAUGUCCGGAAUCCUGCAGAGAUGCGGAGUGCCCGAAGGGAAUCGGAACACAGGUGCUGCAUGGCUGUCGUCAGCUCGUGUCGUUGAGAUGUUGGGUUAAGUCCCGCAACGAGCGCAACCCUUAUCAUUAGUUGCUACGCAAGGGCACUCUAAUGAGACUGCCGGUGACAAACCGGAGGAAGGUGGGGAUGACGUCAAGUCCUCAUGGCCCUUAUGGGUAGGGCUACACACGUCAUACAAUGGCCGGUACAGAGGGUAGCCAACCCGCGAGGGGGAGCCAAUCCCACAAAGCCGGUCGUAGUCCGGAUCGCAGUCUGCAACUCGACUGCGUGAAGUCGGAAUCGCUAGUAAUCGCGGAUCAGCAUGUCGCGGUGAAUACGUUCCCGGGUCUU
rnacentral:rRNA from 1 species